ensembl:lncRNA
CACAACAGGUGUGCAGCCCCACCAAGCCCCCGAGUCUAAUCAGUUUGACCGGGGCCAGCUGAGGCUGGUUAAACCAGUCAUCAGCCAACCAAACUCCCAGUAGGGCAUGUGGUACUGGAAUUAGGUACCUAGCAUGGGCUUGGCAUGCAUAUCAAAACAAAGGCUAAGCUCAGUGUUUGAGCCUAGCCCUGAAUAAGUUAAUUGUUGCCUGACUCUGGUCAGAACGACCUCAGUAUAACGGUUAGUGAACGCUGGUGUUUUGGAGAGGAGGAAUCAAUGAACCAGAAAGCCCAGGCUUUAUUCCAUCUCUGUUCCUUCACACAGGGCGUCCCCACUAUUUGAGACCAAGCCAGGUCCAUAGGAGAAGAAGGGCAAAACUACCGUAAGCCCCCUCUGCCUGACUUUACAGCAGCCAAUGUCCGUUCAUCGGCUGAGGCAGACAGCAGCUUUGCAUUUCAGCCCCAAGACUGCCAACAGGAGCUUUGUACUGCCCUGAGCCAGGAGUAUGUGCAACGUCACUUGUUCCAAAACAGGAGUUGGAGAUGGACUUUAUUCCUUAAUCAUCGGCAUUCAGGAACAGUCCUCUGUUAAGGCGAGGAUUCUCAUCGUGACUCAUGAUGCAAACGAAGACCUAGGGGUGUUCAUCUUUGCUCUUGAAUGAGUCACGAUGCAAAUUAUUAAGACCUUCGGGUCAAAAUAUGCUGAAUGGAGUCACAAUAGAUGUCGUCUGCAAAAUGUGAACACUGCAUGGUAAUGACUUGAUGGUUGGCCUCUAUCGAAAUAGUAUACUGCCAUAUGAUUACAAAGGUUUGUAUUUUUGCUUGGAUUCCUGUUGUAUCAUCUGUCCCUGUCAGAUGAUAAUGGUGAUCCCUCAAGCCUUUUAUGGCGAGCUCAAGCCUGUCAACCGUGUGGUGAGAUGUGUCCACUUGAGCAGGUUCGUUCUGUCAUGGGUGGAAAGCUCUGCAAACCCUCUGGGUGUAGGAGGAGACUCCCUCAGGCUAUCAUCAGUGACCUCUGUAAAGGAAAUAAACUGGUUCAUGCUGCUCAGUCUGUCUGUUUGUGAUGUCAAUGAUGUUUUCCAAGAUGGUGUUACAGUGGAGCGAUACAUUUUCGUAGACCAAUUACAAGUGAUGGGUUCAAAUUCAACUUUUUAACUAGAAAAUAAAUAUGCAGUAAUAUUUAAAUCAAG